AAUAUGUCAGCAUGGAUUGUACAGCUAACUGAUGAUAGGAAAUCUUAGUGACUCAAGGAAGCAGACAUCUAAGUAAAAUUGCUGAAGUCCAAAGGCUUAUCUUGAACCUCUGGUCCAUUUCUCUUGAGCCACAGUCCAAUGCACUAGCUCUUAGUUGCUGCUGGAAAUACACUAAUUUUAAGGGAGAUUCAGAAAGAAUCCCAUGAGUAGCUUAACAUCCUACCUGGCAAUGAGCUAGAACCAAAGACCAUCUACAGAGGCCCUCAAACAGGACUUUAUAACUUGCCAGGGUAUGGAUUCCCUGUAUACUGUCCAGCCACACUGGUAUCAUCAAGUUAUGAAGAGGAUAAUUCCAGGAGAAGAGGAUCCAGAUCUCCUUGAAUUCAGGAGAGUUAAGAAACAGAUUGUAUGAGGAGAAAGGAAGAAAUAAGGAGGUUACUCAAAUUUGGAAAUACCUCUUUGGAAUAAGAAAAAGCAAAAAUGGUCAUGACUUCUUCCUUUCAAGCAAUAUGCUACCAUAUGUCUUGAGUUCUUGGAAUUUGGGGUCAUGGUUGGAACAAGGAAUAGGAUGGCUGGUCGGAUGCGUGAGUACCACAGAGAACUGGGGUUGUGGAGAAGUCCUGGAGCCUGGGAAGUCCCAAGUCAAGGCACUGGCAUCUGUGAAGCCCUUUUCCUGCAUCCUCCCUUGGCAGAAGGGCAAAGAAUGGACAAAAGAAAGCCAAAAGGGACCAAUUCAUUCUUUUAUAUGGAACUCAUUCCCACAACAAUGAAUGUACUCCAGUGAAAACAGCAUUAAUCCAUUGAUGAGGUCAAUGCCUCAUGACUCAACACCUCCCAUUAUGCUGCAGUGGAACUCAUGAUUCUCCUGCCUCAGUCUCCUGAUUAGCUGGCAUUAAUCCAGGUUUAUCCCCCCAUGCCUGCCAAUAGUGAUUAUUUAAAACAAAGAUUACCAUAUGUUACUUUCCUGAUUAAAAAUAUAUUGAUGCUUAUUUAUUGUAUUAGAGUAAAUCCUAAACUUUUCUCAUAUCAUCCAAAGUCCCUCACGGCCUCCUAUUUCUCCCACUGCACCUUGAUUCCUCAGAGAGCUGAUUCCUCCCCAUUUUUUGAGUCUCUGUUUAACUAUUUGUUUCUUUAAAAUGUAAAGAUCAGGAAGUUGACUUGUUUUAUUACUCUUAUUAUAGUACUUAUAAUCUCAUCACUUAACAUGAUGUGUGGCAUGUAGUAAGUGUUCAACAAACAUUUAUUGAAUGAAUAUCAAAAUUGUGGAAUAGAUUGCACGUAGAAUAAUAGUGAAAACCCCAAAU
rnacentral:lncRNA from 1 species